CCUACGGGUGGCAGCAGUAGGGAAUUUUCGGCAAUGGGGGGAACCCUGACCGAGCAACGCCGCGUGAACGAUGCAGUUAUUCGUAAUGUAAAGUUCUUUUAACAGGGAAGAAAGAGAAAUCUGACGGUACCUGAAGAAUAUGCUCCGUCAAACUACGUGCCAGCAGCCGCGGUAAUACGUAGGGAGCGAGCGUUAUCCGUAAUUAUGGGGCGAAAGGGGUGCGUAGAUGGCAUAGUAAGUCUUUUGUAAAAAUGCUGGGCUCAACCUAGUAGGGCAAAAGAUACUGCAAAGCUAGAGUAUAACAGAGGCAAGUGGAACUAGAUGUGUAGCGGUAAAAUGCGUAGAUAUAUGUAAGAACCCCAGUGGCGAAGGCAGCUUGCUGGGUCGAUACUGACAUUGAGGCACGAAAGCGUGGGGAGCAAACAGGAUUAGAUACCCCUGUAGUC
rnacentral:rRNA from 1 species